rnacentral:rRNA from 1 species
UGCUGUGAGCUCGAUGAGUAGGGCGGGACACGUGGUAUCCUGUCUGAAUAUGGGGGGACCAUCCUCCAAGGCUAAAUACUCCUGACUGACCGAUAGUGAACCAGUACCGUGAGGGAAAGGCGAAAAGAACCCCGGCGAGGGGAGUGAAAAAGAACCUGAAACCGUGUACGUACAAGCAGUGGGAGCACAGGUUUACCUGUGUGACUGCGUACCUUUUGUAUAAUGGGUCAGCGACUUAUAUUCUGUAGCAAGGUUAACCGUAUAGGGGAGCCGGAGGGAAACCGAGUCUUAACCGGGCGUUAAGUUGCAGGGUAUAGACCCGAAACCCGGUGAUCUAGCCAUGGGCAGGUUGAAGGUUGGGUAACACUAACUGGAGGACCGAACCGACUAAUGUUGAAAAAUUAGCGGAUGACCUGUGGCUGGGGGUGAAAGGCCAAUCAAACCGGGAGAUAGCUGGUUCUCCCCGAAAGCUAUUUAGGUAGCGCCUCGUGAACUCAUCUCCGGGGGUAGAGCACUGUUUCGGCUAGGGGGCCAUCCCGGCUUACCAACCCGAUGCAAACUGCGAAUACCGGAGAAUGUUAUCACGGGAGACACACGGCGGGUGCUAACGUCCGUCGUGAAGAGGGAAACAACCCAGACCGCCAGCUAAGGUCCCAAAGUCAUGGUUAAGUGGGAAACGAUGUGGGAAGGCCCAGACAGCCAGGAUGUUGGCUUAGAAGCAGCCAUCAUUUAAAGAAAGCGUAAUAGCUCACUGGUCGAGUCGGCCUGCGCGGAAGAUGUAACGGGGCUAAACCAUGCACCGAAGCUGCGGCAGCGAACGUAUCACCCAAGACAACUUUGCGGAGUUGACGAUUGACGGAGCGAAGCGACGUCAAAGCGUUCAUUAAAGUCGAGUUGGCUUAGGGAUACGUUCGUUGGGUAGGGGAGCGUUCUGUAAGCCAGUGAAGGUGUGUCGUGAGGCAUGCUGGAGGUAUCAGAAGUGCGAAUGCUGACAUAAGUAACGAUAAAGCGGGUGAAAAGCCCGCUCGCCGGAAGACCAAGGGUUCCUGUCCAACGUUAAUCGGGGCAGGGUGAGUCGACCCCUAAGGCGAGGCCGAAAGGCGUAGUCGAUGGGAAACAGGUUAAUAUUCCUGUACUUGGUGUUACUGCGAAGGGGGGACGGAGAAGGCUAUGUUGGCCGGGCGACGGUUGUCCCGGUUUAAGCGUGUAGGUGUGUGUUCCAGGUAAAUCCGGUUCACUUUAACACUGAGGCGUGAUGACGAGGCACUACGGUGCUGAAGCAACAAAUGCCCUGCUUCCAGGAAAAGCCUCUAAGCAUCAGGUAACAUCAAAUCGUACCCCAAACCGACACAGGUGGUCAGGUAGAGAAUACCAAGGCGCUUGAGAGAACUCGGGUGAAGGAACUAGGCAAAAUGGUGCCGUAACUUCGGGAGAAGGCACGCUGACACGUAGGUGAAGUGAUUUACUCA